rnacentral:rRNA from 1 species
UACUCGAGUGGCGAACGGGUGAGUAACACGUGGGUGAUCUGCCCUGCACUUCGGGAUAAGCUUGGGAAACUGGGUCUAAUACCGGAUAGGACCGCACUUUAGUGUGGUGGUUGGAAAGUUUUUUCGGUGUAGGAUGAGCUCGCGGCCUAUCAGCUUGUUGGUGGGGUAAUGGCCUACCAAGGCGGCGACGGGUAGCCGGCCUGAGAGGGUGUACGGCCACAUUGGGACUGAGAUACGGCCCAG